rnacentral:rRNA from 1 species
CCUACGGGAGACAGCAGUGAGGAAUAGUGGUCAAUGGACGAGAGUCUGAACCAGCCAAGUAGCGUGAAGGAUGACUGCCCGAUGGGUUGUAAACUUCUUUUAUAGGGGAAUAAAAUGUUCCACGUGUGGGAUUUUGUAUGUACCAUAUGAAUAAGGAUCGGCGAACUCCGUGCCAGCAGCCGCGGUAAUACGGAGGAUCCGAGCGUUAUCCGGAUUUAUUGGGUUUAAAGGGAGCGUAGGUGGAUUGUUAAGUCAGUUGUGAACGUUUGCGGCUCAACCGUAAAAUUGCAGUUGAAACUGGCAGUCUUGCUUACAGUAGAGGUGGGCGGACUUCGUGGUGUAGCGGU